UGAACGACUUAGAAUGCCGAUGCAGGUAUCCCUGCCGCGAGACAUUAACAAAUGUUGGACUAAUUUGGCAACAGUUUUGCUGACAAAUCUAUGCUCUUUCUCAGGAGGAGCACUAAGCAUCAAGGAGAGAUCGGUUUUUCUGUAUCAUAUUUCACGAAGCCACGAAGUCUGAACGUGGACAGAUGGAAAUGCAGCCUUGACGGUGCUUACCAGAUUGUCAAACUCAAGACCUACUACACAAGACUGCAGCACCAAUUUGCAGAUAUCAGUACCAACAGAAGUCCCAGAACUCAAGUUUCAGCAACUUUGUGUAUGAGUCUUCAUCAACCAGAAAUGUACUCUAUCUUCCUGAAAAAAUUCUUAAAUUACAUAAAACAACAUUUAGUAUUGUUCUGAACCCAAAUCAGGUAACCAAAUUGUUCCUAUAAGAUAAAUU